GAGUUUGAUCCUGGCUCAGAUUGAACGCUGGCGGCAUGCCUUACACAUGCAAGUCGAACGGUAACAGGUCUUCGGAUGCUGACGAGUGGCGAACGGGUGAGUAAUACAUCGGAACGUGCCCAGACGUGGGGGGAUAACGAGGCGAAAGCUUUGCUAAUACCGCAUACGAUCUAAGGAUGAAAGCAGGGGACCGCAAGGCCUUGCGCGUUUGGAGCGGCCGAUGGCAGAUUAGGUAGUUGGUGGGAUAAAAGCUUACCAAGCCGACGAUCUGUAGCUGGUCUGAGAGGACGACCAGCCACACUGGGACUGAGACACGGCCCAGACUCCUACGGGAGGCAGCAGUGGGGAAUUUUGGACAAUGGGCGAAAGCCUGAUCCAGCAAUGCCGCGUGCAGGAUGAAGGCCUUCGGUUGUAACGUAGCUUUGUUACGGUAACGAAAGGACGUACUGGCUAAUACCUAGGGCGACGAUGACGGUACC
rnacentral:rRNA from 1 species